rnacentral:rRNA from 1 species
UACAGAGGUCUCAAGCGUUGUUCGGAUUCAUUGGGCGUAAAGGGUGCGUAGGCGGCGCGGCAAGUUGGGUGUGAAAGCCCUCGGCUCAACCGAGGAAUUGCGCCCAAAACUACCGUGCUUGAGGAAGAUAGAGGUGAGCGGAACUCAGGGUGGAGCGGUGAAAUGCGUUGAUAUCCUGAGGAACACCGGUGGCGAAAGCGGCUCACUGGAUCUUUUCUGACGCUGAGGCACGAAAGCUAGGGUAGCGAACGGG